GACAUUUCAUGUACAUGAUGUGUGAGAGGUAAGGGUCACAAGGGUUGUCAUACUCAGAUCAGCUUUGAGCAAUGGUUACAAGGUAAGUCAUGCUAUCUGAAACAAGAGAAAACUUGUUGGUACACUCAGGAGCUGAGUAAAGCAAAACAUAGUGGGAAGAUGUUGCUUAGAAAGGGUGGUUGCUUAGAAUGCUUUUCAGAAAGGUUGAUGGAAAUCUUUUUGAGUUUUGUUGGCAUCGUAAGCUAGAUUGGACUUUAAAAAAAGUUUUGAGUUAUUGUUAAAUUUUCCAUGAUAUUUAUUGUUUUAUAUGAUAAAUAUUAUUUUAUUCUGAUGGUUCCAACACAUACCAGCUUCCAAAGGUUUUAUGAAGAAGAAAAAAAACGCACAUGCGUUUCCAAACACUUCGCCUGAUUCCUUGCAGCUUUGCCUUUAAGAUUGAGUUAAUUAUGUUAGCUAUUCAUUUGCUAUAGUUUUUUUACCUUUAAGAUUGAGUUAAUUAAAAAGUUUAAUAUCUUUAAGAUUGAGUUUUNNNNNNNNNNNNNNNNNNNNNAAAAAAAAAAAGACAUGAUCUGGAACAAGGAGAGAAAGAGAUACCAUAAGAUCCCAACGGCCCGCUGGUGUUUGGUCGUGAAAAGCAAUCUUGAAGGGUUGGUUAUCGUCAUUGAUGGCGGAAAGCUCAAACUUAUGUUUCCCCACAUAAACUUCCUCACAAAUAUGCAGCUGACCGAUCGCCUCUACCUCAAGCAUUGCUGAUGGUUGGUCGGAGAUGAUUGGACGCAUGCUCGAUGAAGGACUCGGACCUUGGUUCUAGUGUCGAGGUAGCUUUCAGGGUAGCGAUUCACCAAGUGAUUCUUGUUGGUGUUAUCCUCCUCGUCCACCCUCGAGCUGUAGGCCAUGAGAGUUAACUCGCCGGUCUGCUUCUCACAAUAGAGACAUUCCAUGUACAAGAUAUGCAGUUGACCGAUCGUCUCCACCUCAAGCAUCGCUGAUGGUUGGUCGGAGAGGAUUAGGACGCAUGCUCGACGGAGGAUCCGGACCUUGGUCCUGGUGUCAGGGCAACUUUCAAGGCAGCGAGUCACCAAGUGAUUCUUGUUGGUGGCAUCUUCCAUAAAGUUGUAGUUCAAUAUAUAUGAACAACUUUUGUUCAAUAAGUUCUACUAUUCAAAACAAGUCUCUUCACUUCGAUCAAUCUGACAAAGUUUCCUAUAUAUGAACAAUUUUGCCUUUAAGAUUGAGUUAAUUACGUUAGCCAAUCAUUUGUUAUAGUUUUUUACCUUUAAGAUUGAGUUAAAUAAAAAGUUUAAUAUCUUUAAGAUUGAGUUUUUUUUUUUUUUUUUCAGUAGAACAUAGAUAAUUUCAUUACUUAUCCAUGGCCAGAACGCACUUACGAUAGAUACUUACCAUGAAGAUUAGACAACCCUAUUUUGUUAAAAAUUACGAAGAGAAAAGUUUGUAGUUGGACUGAACAAACACUCAUUGUUGAUUGCAGUAUGCGAAUGGAAGUUUAAAAAAAAACUAAUGUUACUUGAUUUGUUCAGCUGACAAUUGUGAUAGUGAUUGGCUUUUAAGAAUUGUGAUUUUCCUUUUGUAGUUCAAGAUUGGACAUUCGCUUAGCUUCUAAUGCUCAUCUGAUCAAACUUUAUAUAUGUUGAGUACCUUAUUAUAUUAUCAUAGAAUAACUCGUACUGAUCCGGAUGACAAAUGAUAGUGUGAUAAACAUGUG
rnacentral:lncRNA from 1 species